rnacentral:rRNA from 1 species
UACGUAGGGUGCAAGCGUUGUCCGGAAUUAUUGGGCGUAAAGAGCUCGUAGGCGGUUUGUCGCGUCUGCUGUGAAAACUCAGGGCUUAACUCUGAGCUUGCAGUGGGUACGGGCAGACUAGAGUGCGGUAGGGGAGACUGGAAUUCCUGGUGUAGCGGUGAAAUGCGCAGAUAUCAGGAGGAACACCGGUGGCGAAGGCGGGUCUCUGGGCCGUAACUGACGCUGGAGGAGCGAAAAGCGUGGGGAGCGAACAGG